CUGUCCUGGUUUGCUGAAGCUGUGACAGAGGCACUAGAGAUGACAUGAAGAAAGCAUCGCGAGGGCACAACCACAAGGCAAACCAUCCUUUUUGGAAGCAAGAUGUUAGAGCAGACAAGAGCACACAGAAAUUCCACAUUCUGAUUUGGGAGCUGAACUUCUUCACUGCCCAGCAGUUCUCCUCCCAGGAAAAUUUGGGAGAGCUUCAACUGCUCUCAGGGUUGCAAGUUUCCUUCCAGCACGAGGAACAAAGGUAAGUUCAUAUUCUCUACUUUUGUCAACAUCUCAUUUACUUAUGACACUUCAUGAUUAGAACAAGUGGGUUUUCAAUUAGAAAAAGUUCUCCCCAAA